CAUGUUCCUCCUCUUUUCCUUUUUUUUUUUUUUUCUUCCGUUCUCCCUCUUCUCAUAUUUACUCACGCUGAAGAACAUCGG
rnacentral:ribozyme from 14 species